rnacentral:misc_RNA from 1 species
CAAACAAAUACAAAGCUUUUUCUUUUUCUCUUUGCAAAAUAUUCAUUUCAUUCACUUCAAAAUUCUCUUCCGAUUAUUCCAGAACAGAAGCGUGUGAUUAAAUCUGGGUCUGUUGCUUCGAUCGUUGAACACAAACGCACAAAUCUCUCAGGAAAACAUAAUAAAGCUCGCUGAUCAGCCUAUCGCAGUAGAGAAGAUAGGGAUACUUGUUCAAAAAAGCUUCCAAGGUACUUCACGUUCAAAAGAAAUAUCUUUAAGCUGCAAAGACCAAAAGUUUCAGCAUACAAGGGUUGAGGUAAGUAUCUCUCUCUCUUACCACAAACUGGCCAUAGACUAGUCCUCUGGCCUGUGGCAUGUUCAUCAUGUAUUUUUUCCAUGUUGUUUUAUCCCAGAAAUAGAUCAAAGAUGGCAAAAACACAAAUUCACGCUCAAUCACAACAAAAUUCUAAAACACAAAUUCACGCUCAAACGAAAUUUAAACACACGAAAACAUAACACAAACACACUUCCAAACGCAUGCAUAUUCAAAAGAAAAAAGAAAACACAAUUCACGCUCAAUCACAGAAAAAAUCUAACUCAAACAGUAAAACUAAACAAUAGGAACAAAAAACUUCACAUUCCACGAAUUGAUGUGUAACUUGCAGGGAAGAGUCCUCUUCUGAUUCCCAGUUUAUGGAGGAACCAUGGACGGUAGAUUGGAUGACAUGGUCUUGUGAUGCUCGAAACUCGAUUAUUCUCGAACCAAUCAUUCUACCGAGCUUUUCUUCUUACAAGUCAAAUCAGACCAAUUCUGCAAAAAGCUUAACCUCUGUCAAGAAGUGACGGCCCUUGCUUCAGACUGUCACCAAACUCAAGGAUCCUGAGACAAAGCUGAAACUCCGCAUAUCUCUCAAGGUAUCCAGUCGCUAAACAAUUACCAGGAAAAGUGCUUGAAGGUGGUGUUUGAGUACGGCCUCUGAUGCUUGCGGAAGUUUCCCCAGGGGAAUCAACAUAAUACACACAGAAAAAGGCUCUGGUUGUGGAUGACAGUAACAGAAUCCCCUAAUCUUGAGCCUCAGUGAUAAGAUGGCCAAAAUCUCGUGAAUAUGGGAGACCAAGCAUUCUUUUAGUGCAUCCUGUUAAGGUAAUUUGAUUUGACGGUAACAUGUUUCUUCCUGUUAAAUAUUCGUUUUAUUUUUAACAAGGGUUCUUUGGUGACCAAAGAACUCUUGAUAAAGGGUUUCAAGAUGAAGGAGUGUUUAGCUGCAAAGAAGAUCUGAAGACCAUUCAAAGGUAUGGUGAUUGAUGAAGUAGCUCACUCUCUCUCUCUCUCUCAAUCUUUCUCUCUCUCACUUAUCACAUCUCUUGCACUGUCUCAAAAACAGAACAUAAAUUCACGAAAACACACGCUCAAAUGCACACAAAAAAAUGAAACACAAACACAACUUAAACUCACUAAGACACAACGAAAUUCAAACACACAAAACCAAAACAUAGCACAGAACGUCCAAACAACUUCCAAAACAGAAAGCAAACUUUUACAAAAAUUCUUUAACCAAAAGUGUGGAUAAUCAUAUUUGAUGUCAAGAACUUGCUUUGUGAAUGUUCCACAUUUCUUACUCUUUUUUAAUAUAUUGCCUUAGAAUAGCUUCUAUUAACUUAUUUCUUGGUAAAUGGUUUCAUGAGAAAGAGGAAAUGUCUCAGAUGCGUUUCAACGUACUCAUGAAUGAUAAGGGGUGUAGUUAUAAUCUUCUAUUUUCAGAUGAUAGCUCCCACCGGUUCUGCCUCAAGAUUAGAGAAUGAAUAUAACUUAGUGUGAGCCUGCUGAUGUAUCUGUUAAGGAGUUGGUAAAUAGACUUGCUGAUGUAUCUAUUAAGGAGUUGGUAAAGAGACUUGAAGAAGGACUAACAACACUUAAAGACGUCAGUGAAAAAUUAAAAGUCUUGUGAAUAUGGGAGAGCCAAGCAUUUUCAUGUUAAGGUUAAAAGUAUGAAUGAGAAGCAACGGAUGUAACAGUAAGAGUUUCAUUAAUUAUUUCUCGGCUAUAAUUUUGUUGUAUAAAUUUUAUCUUGUGAUUAUCUUUUUUUGAUAUGUUUCACUAUGCUCAAAGUAAAUAACAAAGUAUUCUAACUUUUAGGAGCAGCAAAGAAUCUUGGUGUAGCUGAGAACAAGUGACUCUUGGAUGACGUAACUGAGUUAGUUACGGUAACUCUCUCUUGCUCUCUCUCUCUUCAAAAAAACACAUCCAAAAAUGUUCCUUACACAACGAACAAAAAAAAAACACUAAACACCACCAAAAAAAAAAAAAAAACAUUAAACUUAAAAAUGCAAAAAUAAACUCCACAACUCACGAUCACGUAAAUUCAACAAAAUCAUGAUAACAUAAAUUCUUGAAAUUCAACAUAAACAAAAAAACAUUAAUUUAAACACAUGUAAAAAUACAAUAAAAAUGCUUAAAAUAAACUCCAUAUUUUCACGAUCACAUAAAUAAAUCAUAAACAAACAAAAAAACAUUAUUUUUAAAACACACGCAACAAGUAAAUACAAAAAUACAAUAAAAAAUAAACAUAAAUUCCACAAAUUCACAAACAAGUAAAUUAAAUCAUAAACAAAAAAAUAUUAAUUUAAACACAGGCAAAAAUACAAUAAAAUACUAAAAUAAACUCCACAUCUUCACGAUCACAGAAAUUAAUCAUAAACAAACAAAAAUACAUUAUCUUUAAAACACACACAACAAGUAAACACAAAAAAUACGAGAAAAAUGCAAAAAUAAAUUCCACAACUUCAUGAUCACAUAAGUUCCACAAAAUCACGAUAAUAGAAACUCCACAAAUUCACGAUCACGUAAAAGGAAAUACAAAAGUACAAGAAAAUUGCAAAAAUACACUUUACAACUUCAUAAUCACAGAAAUUCCACAAAUUCACGAUUACAAGAGUUUGCUUAGGCAUGAUUAUAACCGUAUUUCGGUUUGUAACCGAACUGUCUUUAAAUAAUAACUAGUUUGUAAACGUAUCAAGCGGUUAAAAAACCUUAACCGUUAACCAUAAAAGUAUUAGCUAUGGACUAUGGUUAAAAAUACACUAACUUUUAAUUAACCAUACAGUCAAAACCUUACAAAUAUAUUGUAAAUGUGUAUAAUGCAAAGACAAUGAUCGAAUGUUCCGAUAAUUUUUUUUUUCUUAAUGAUAAUGCAUAUGUAAAGAUCUAUGUUAAAG